rnacentral:rRNA from 1 species
AACGUAGGAGACAAACGUUAUCCGGAGUUACUGGGCGUAAAGGGCGUGCAGGUGGUCUGUUAAGUCUGGCGUGAAAGCUCUCGGCUAAACCGGGAGAGGUCGUUGGAUACUGGCGGACUAGAGGACGGUAGAGGCGUGUGGAAUUCCGGGUGUAGUGGUGAAAUGCGUAGAGAUCCGGAGGAACACCGACGGCGUAGGCAGCGCCCUGGACGACACCUGACGCUGAUGAGCGAAAGCCAGGGGAGCAAACGGG